UAAAUUGGGAAUCCAACUAACUUUUCAGAAAGUGAUAUAUUUCUUAUUCCGACUACAAUCCGAUCUCGGAUCAGCUCUUCCUUGAGCGCGCCAAACUGACAAUGUUCUGCUAGUUUGUGAAGAGCUGUGAUAAAACUGUCGGUGGUUUAACCCCGCUCCUGUUAGCGCAUAUUAUACCUAGCUCUCACAAAAAUAAUGUUGUGUCACCUUACAAAAUGUAUUGUAGUUAAAUUUCUCUUCCUCGGUCAACGUUGAAUCAUUUCAUAUAUCCUAGGCUUCAUCACCCAUAGAGUAGAUCAGUGUAUUAACUCGAAAUGCCUCAUUUUUUCACGUUUAAGCCUGAUACUACCCUGUACCUUUCAAAGCGCCUGAUCCAUUUCGGACAGUUUUUAAUGUCCAUACAAACAAAAGUAUCCGGGGAACGAAUGCGAAAUCCGUCAGCACUAGCCACAGGGCCUGUCCGUGUUUGCGCCAGAGCCCGUUGAACUUGGGAGUCGCAAACACUGAAAUCCGGCCAGCUUCUUCCUCUUGCAACAUGUUGCUUAGCAGUAACUUACUCCUUGCUCGUUAGCUAGCAAAAUAAUGAUACGCGCUGUUUUUAUCUCCAACACUGUGCCCUCCCUGCUUUGAAACAGCCUGAAUGUAUGAUUUACUUGUUACGUUCUUCACGUUUAUGUAAAUUUUAAAACCACUUCUGACACCAUGUAGUAUGAUCUAAAAUAAGGACGCGCGACAACCAGGUUCUAGCUCCAGCAUGUUUAUUAACCUAACCCUCGCAUGUCCUACAUAGGUGAGGAUACCCCCCAAGCGACAUCCUACUACAGUGCAAGUAAGAACUUUGGACCUGGGUACUCCUUACGAAACACACAUGACUCAUAGAGGAAGGAGUUGAAUGUUAUAGUAGCUAAACAGACUAGUUUCCAGGCUACUUUGGACCAUAUUUGUCUCGAUUCAUAUUCUAAAACAAUUACUGCCUUGAGACUAAUCCAAAAAUCAAACAACGUGACAAGAAGUGAAAAUAAAAGCGUGACUAAACCAGAAUAACGUGGUAAGGCUACAACAAAACACUCGGAAGAAGGUUGGUCAAAAUUAGCUUUGGAACAUGGCGCCACGACAACCACAACAUUGCCCCUGUUCGUGAGAGUACGCAGCUGAACGGCGCCCUGGACUAUAAACUAGGUCUGAUUCAUCUGCUGUGAUAUUCCAUUUGUUUUACCCAUCUGGCUGUGGUGGAGGUAAUGUCGCUUUUUAGAACUACAACUUAAAAAAAAAAAAAAAAAAAAGUACAUCUUUGAAAAAGUCCUAUACCCAAACAGUGUUUCGGAGUGAUAUUGUCGGGGAGGGUGGGGUCUUGUUUUGUGUGCCAUUUUCUCAAUUCCUCAUAAUCUGAUUGAAGAACACGUUUUUCUUUUACACCUGUCACAAAUCUUGAGGAAGGUGUUUUUCUUGGAUCAGUCUAGCAAUUAGCAUAAUUAAUGUAGCAUUUUCCCUCCUUUUAAUUUUCUCCCUGUUUGGCACUCAUUAAAUGGAUUUAGGGGGAAGGCCCUGCAAUAGACUAGCGUCCUGUCCUGUGUACUUGUACAUCAAGCUGCUGCACACUACAGAAAUAGGCUCCUGCCCUUAUUGCCUUUCUGGCUCAGACAAGGCUACUUAUGACUUUACCUCCUUUUAUUGUAUUUUUUUUUAGGAAGAUGGCUUGUUUUGGCAUUGGUAAUAAGACCAAAGGCAAAUGUGGAGAAGAAGAGGAGAAGGCACGGAGAGAAGCAAACAAAAGGAUUGAGAAACAGCUUAAAAAAGAUAAACAGCAAUACUAUACAUCUCACAGGCUCCUACUACUAGGAGAUUGUGACUCAGGGAAAAGCACAAUAUUCAAUCAGAUGCGAUUGUUGGACACAGACUUAACUGCGGAGGAGAAAUUAAUGCAAUACAUGCAACACAAAAAAGCUUCAGGCAUUUGUGAGACAUAUUUCAGAGUAGGAGAACACGUUUUUUAUUUGUUCAAUGGCAGAGGUGGAUGGAGAUACAUAAGGAGAGUAAGGAGUGUGUUUUGGGACCAGUCGGCCUAUAUUUUAGUGGUGGACAGCAGCAGCUAUGAUAUGGUGUGUCAGGGAGACGAUCAGACCAACCAACUGCAGGAGGCACUAAACAACUUCGAGAACCUCUGGCGCAGAAUGCGGACAAUGGACUGUCCUGUCUUCCUCUUUUUGAACAAACAGGACCUGCUAGCAGAGAAGGUGUUGGCGGGGAAAUCUAAAAUAGAGGAUUAUUUUCCAGAGUUUGCACACUACACUUUGCAUGAACAUACAACACCAGUACAAGGGGAGGAUCCAAGUGUCACCAGGGCAAAGUACUUCAUACGUGACAAGUUUUUGAGGAUCGCAGCCAGUGGAGAUGUGGAUAUGCACAAAUGUUUUCCCUUUUUCACCUGUGCGAUAGACUUGGAAAACAUCCAGCGUACCUUCAGAGACUGUGGAGAUAAGUUAAACUUUUGCUUGUCAUGAAUGCAACAAAGAAAGGAAGGUCUUCAGCUGGCAGGCUGUAUGAAGAGAUGCCUGGGAGAAGAUCUCAGACUGGAUGCCCCUCUGCAUCUCCUCAGUCAGCUCCUGAGAGCUUCCCAGGCCCAUGUUGGCAGACAUCUUCGACUGAAACCUCAAAUUGAACUUAGAGCAAACUUUUUAGUCUAGCGCUAUUGAAAGUUUCCCUAUUAGAGAGAAUGGAAAAUACUAAAACUCUUCACAAAAUUUACAAGACCCUUAGAUGAGUUCAGUGUUAUUUUUCUCCUUCAAUAAAACCUCUCCAGUCAUUGUU